CAAGUNCCGUGAGGGAAAGUGAAAAGUACUUUGAAGAGAGAGUAAACAGUGCGUGAACCCGCUCAGAGGUAAACGGGUGGAGUUGAACUGCAAGCUCUGAGGAUUCAGCUGGUGAGUUUGGCAUGAGCUUGGUCAUGUGGGUUGUGUGUUCGGGUCUGCUUAGCUGCAGGUCCUCGCCUUUGGUGGGGAUGCGCGUAUCGCUUAUCAAGCGUUGUGCGCCCGUUCUUAUCGGACCUGCUCGCCAGUGCACUUUCUCAGAGUGUUCACCACGACCGGCGUUGUCGUCUGGCUGGUGCGGUUAAACCGGCCUUGUAGGGUCCUUGUGGCCUUGCCUGGUCGGGAUGGCAGGUAGCCCGUUGUGUACUUCGGUGUGCUUCGGGUGUAAUAGCCGACUGCAUCGGUUCUGUGCGAUACGUCGGAGACGGCGGCUUGUUGUGCGUGCGGGCGUGCCUGUUGCGCUGGCGGCUCUGGGUCUGGUUGCCUUGUUGCUUGUAAAUGCAAGCCAGGUGAUGGCCUGGGGUCGUUUGGUGUGCGGUUGCGUUCGUGGCACUUUAAAGGGCCUACAGUCUGUGGUGUAGUGGUAGACUAUCCACCUGACCCGUCUUGAAACACGGACCAAGGAGAGUAACAUGUGCGCGAGUCAUUGGGCGUUACGAAACCCAAAGGCGAAGUGAAAGUAAAGGUUCGGCUUGUCUGGACUGAGGUGAGAUCCUGUCGUUUCUCACGCGUGGUACUACCAAGCAUCGAGCGGCAGGCGCAUCACCGGCCCGUCCCAUGACGUAGAAGUGGCCUCGUGCUUGCUCAUCGUCGGGGCGGAGCAUGAGCGUACAUGUUGAGACCCGAAAGAUGGUGAACUAUGCUUGCGCAGGUUGAAGCCAGAGGAAACUCUGGUGGAGGACCGCAGCGAUUCUGACGUGCAAAUCGAUCGUCAAACGUGAGUAUAGGGGCGAAAGACUAAUCGAA
rnacentral:rRNA from 1 species